UCAUAAAUUGACGUCGCUUCAAGUGACGCUGCAGAGGGAAGGACGUCCCAUGGACCGUUAAUCAUCAGUCUUAUGGCUUCAGUCUUCCACGUUGAUUCCUCGGUCUCUUCAUGAGUCUCUGGUGGGCGGGACUAAGACUCAAGGAAAAGACUCACGCCAGAGACACGAGCCUUAUAACUAGAGAUGUGAGACGCACCCACAGUCUCCUCUGAACCGGUUGGCAAGAACCAUGGUGGAAACCAAAUCUGCAGGUUGGUCAUCAUGACCUGUACUCCAUCAGAGGAGGGUCUCCCUACCAUCAUCAUACCUCUCCAGUGUCUGAGAUUCCUCUGAGCACAGCGAACUGAAGUCUUGUCACCUGCUGACAGCGAGGCCUCCUGACUGUCCAAGACUAACUGUCUGAGGUGAAGUUCCUCCAGCAGCUCUUUGGAUGUUGGGUAUAGAUGGUCAGGUGGUUUUGCCUCCACAUCCCCACUUGCAGCGUGACUUGCAGCUUUCUCCUCAAGCUUCUACAUCUUCAGCCUGGGGUAUCAGGAGCAAGCUCUGAUCACGCUGGAGUUGAACAAGACCUUUAGUGUGAAUCAGCCCCACCUGUGUCAGGCACCAAGACAUCAGACCUCAUCAGCCAAAAAAGGAGGAAGGUCCAUGAGAGGGGGAAACAUCAGUCAAACCUCAGCUAUCCUGUCUUAAGACUAUGAAUGGACUCUAAGGACUGUGCGUGAGUCGUAUCCAAAUAAGUGGACUCUUGUG